ACACUCCUACGGGAGGCAGCAGUAGGGAAUCUUCCACAAUGGGUGCAAACCUGAUGGAGCAAUGCCGCGUGAGUGAAGAAGGUCUUCGGAUCGUAAAGCUCUGUUGUUAGAGAAGAACACGUGCUAGGUAACUACUAGCGCCUUGACGGUAUCUAACCAGAAAGUCACGGCUAACUACGUGCCAGCAGCCGCGGUAAUACGUAGGUGACAAGCGUUGUCCGGAUUUAUUGGGCGUAAAGGGAGCGCAGGCGGUCUGUUUAGUCUAAUGUGAAAGCCCACGGCUUAACCGUGGAACGGCAUUGGAAACUGACAGACUUGAAUGUAGAAGAGGAAAAUGGAAUUCCAAGUGUAGCGGUGGAAUGCGUAGAUAUUUGGAGGAACACCAGUGGCGAAGGCGAUUUUCUGGUCUAACAUUGACGCUGAGGCUCGAAAGCGUGGGGAGCGAACAGGAUUAGAAACCCGAGUAGUCC
rnacentral:rRNA from 1 species